rnacentral:rRNA from 1 species
UAAGAGGUCGCGCCUGCCCAGUGACUAUAUGUUCAACGGCCGCGGUAUUUUAACCGUGCGAAGGUAGCGUAAUCACUUGUCUUUUAAAUGAAGACCUGUAUGAACGGCUUGACGAGGGCUUAACUGUCUCCUUUCUCCAGUCAAUGAAACUGAUCUCCCCGUGCAGAAGCGGGGAUAUAAACAUAAGACGAGAAGACCCUAUGGAGCUUUAGACACUAAGAUAGUCCACGUCAAACACCUUCAAAUAAGAAGCCGAACUAGUGGACCCCUAUCCUAAUGUCUUCGGUUGGGGCGACCACGGGGAGAUAAAAAACCCCCAUGUGGAAUGGGAUUACUUUUUAUUAAUCCUAGAGCCAAGAACUCCCAUUCUAGGAAACAGAAUUUCUGACCAAACAGACCCGGCAAUGCCGAUCAACGAACCAAGUUACCCUAGGGAUAACAGCGCAAUCCCCUUUUAGAGCCCAUAUCGACAAGGGGGUUUACGACCUCGAUGUUGGAUCAGGACAUCCUAAUGGUGCAGCCGCUAUUAAGGGUUCGUUUGUUCAACG